UUAAAUUGGGGAGCUUGUGAACAGGCUGAGAGGAAGUUGAAAACUUCGACCCAGGAACCUGAUUUGGAUAAUGCCAACGUAGGGAAGCACUUU
rnacentral:ncRNA from 1 species